rnacentral:misc_RNA from 1 species
AAAAAAAAAAAAAAAAAAUUGCAACAAAGCAUCAAGAAUUUUACUUUUGAAUUAACUCAGUUUCUUAUUUUCAACAGAAAUAUAUCCAUGCGCAUUUAAACAGAAACAUUUGUUUAAAUUUGUAGAAGUGACAAUUUCACAGUUCAUGCAUAGGGACUAUUGCUUUUAAAGAUCCAAGAACGUUCAGAAACUUAACCUUGUUUCUCUUUCAAGUUGGAAUAAUUCUGACUUCAUUUUUUCAUCAAACUUGAAUCCUGCCAUCUCUGCUUCGUUCCAGAUCUCCUUACACUUUGCCACCCUCCCAGAAACCAUGUAAACUGUAAUCAAGGCCCUAUAUAUGUCAUAAGUUGGAGAGAAACCUGCUUCCUUAAGUUUUGAAAAAUAUCUUACUGCCCUUGAGAGAUCAUUCAAGGCAACAAACAGCUUGAUAACAACGCGGUAAGCAGGAAGAUCAAGGACACAAUUUGAUCCCUCCAUUUCCCAAACCACAGUCAAUGCCUGCCGGUAUUUCUUCUCAGAAUAAAAGCUGUGAAUCAGAGUAGUGUACAUAACAACAGUUGGCUCGCGUCCUGAUAGUUGAAACCAAUGGAACAGCCUGUUCACUAGCUCAAAUUUUUUAAGCCUAAUGCAAACUUUCAUUAUAGCUGUGCAAUCCUGAUGGCUUAGAUUCAAAUUCUCUCUUUGCCCAAGCUCGUAAAACAACUGCUCCACAAGCAUGUGUUUAUCAGGGUUCUUUCCAAGCUCCAGUAUAAAUUUUGCAUAUACGCUGGGGUCUAACAAUCUUUUGUCCUGCGUGGCGACCGACAGAAGGUUCCAAGCCAGCUUUAAGCUUCUACCUCGAAUGAAGCCCCUAAUCAUUGCUUCAAUUACACCCCGACUUGCCAAACUAGUGAACUUCUGUAUGUCAAAUGGAACUUUCAAGUCUUGAUUCCUUGCCAAAACCUCUACAGUGGAAGCCAAAAUCCGAUCAUCAGGGAAAAGUUGGGGUUGUUUCUGAGCCCAACAGAAGGUCUGUAGAGCUCGCUCGGGAAGACCCAUAUGACCCAACUCUCGAAUCGUUAAUGACAAGGACCCUUUACGCAAGAAACGAGCAGAGUCAUCUAGAAUUACAGACACAUCAUCAUCUGGAUUAAGGCAUUUAAUUUCCUUGGCUAAACUGACGAGAAAGCUCGGGUUCUUGUAAACUUGCUUGCAAAUAGUUGCCCGCGACGAGACCACCCAUGGACUAACAUUUUUAAUGUGCCUUUUCGGAGUGGGAAGUCCCAGAGGUCUCAGUUUGUGAGGAAGUGGAAGCGGUAGAGGUCUUUCUCUAUUCAACUUUCCAGGCUUCUGAGGGAUCCUCCCUUGAAAAAGAGACGAUAUUGCUUCAAUCUCAUCUGAUUCCCAAACAAUCUCACCAUUACGUCCCUCUUUUUCUUCUUCUUGUUCCCGUUCCUCUUCUUCUUCUUCCUCUUUAGCUACAUAACCAUCAUCGUCUAGAAUUGAAUCCGUUUGCGAGGGGUGGCCAUCAGUGGUUGGCGUUUUCAGGAACAAGUUAACCCCAAAAUCAGGAGGAAGCUUAGAUCGUCGCGGAGACCGAAGGUUUUUGGGUAGCUUCUUUCUGUAGCGUGCUUUUGUAUUGGAAUGGGCAAUCAAAGUUAAAGCUAUCUUACUUUUCCUAGAAAAAUUACUUCCCAAAGGCACUAUUUGAUACAGACUCAUGGACAAGAAUUUACAAUCCAUUUUCUUCAAAAUGGAAAUCAAAAAGGUUGAAACUUUCAGUUCUAAGGCAUUCUAACAGAAAUUUUGUCGAACAUGUGGUGUGCCAUUACCUCGCCAGUAAUCUUAAACCACUUCAAUAUCCCAACUAGGAUGGCUGUGUUCACGUUUUGCCGAGUGCUGACACAGUCGGGGAUGUUAAGGCAUGAACCAUAAAGAACGUGACUUUUCCAAUGGAUGAGCUAUCUCCCUCCUGAAAGCCUAUCGGCACCUCUGCUAUCUCGGCCUCUAUUAUUUUAUAUCAAGGGAUGUGUACGUUCGUGAUGGCGAGCCUGGCUACCUGGCCGGG